UGAAUACGAGAUGCUGCGGCGUCGAAGCAGUCUAUGUCAUACUUCCAAGAAAAGCUUGCACUGUCAUAAACAAAUAAUGCCUGUACCAUAACCGACACAGGUGGGUAGGUAGAGUAUACUAAGGGGCGCGAGAUAACUCUCUCUAAGGAACUCGGCAAAAUGACUCCGUAACUUCGGGAGAAGGAGUGCCUUAUUUAUAAGGUUGCAAUAACAAGAUCCAAGCAACUGUUUACCAAAAACACAGGUCUCCGCUAAGUCGUAAGACGAUGUAUGGGGGCUGACGCCUGCCCAGUGCCAGAAGGUUAAGGAAGUUGGUUAGCAUCCGCGAAGCUGAUAACUGAAGCCCUGGUGAACGGCGGCCGUAACGAUAACGGUCCUAAGGUAGCGAAAUUCCUUGUCGGGUAAGUUCCGACCCGCACGAAAGGCGUAAUGAUUUGGAUACUGUCUCGGAGAGGGGCUCGGUGAAAUAGACUUGUCUGUGAAGAUGCGGACUACCUGCACCAGGACAGAAAGACCCUAUGAAGCUUUACUGUAACCUGAAAUUGAAAUUGGACUUUACUUGCGCAGUAUAGGUGGGAGGCGUUGAGAAUAUUCUUGCGGGAUUAUUGGAGCCAUCAGUGAGAUACCACUCUUGUAAUGUUAGAUUUCUAACUUUGUACCAUUAUCUGGUCAAAGAACAGUUUCAGGCGGGCAGUUUGACUGGGGCGGUCGCCUCCUAAACGGUAACGGAGGCGCACAAAGGUUUCCUCUGAACGGGUAGAAAUCGUAUCUAGAGUGUAAAGGCAUAAGGAAGCUUGACUGUGAGACCUACAAGUCGAGCAGGGACGAAAGUCGGUCUUAGUGAUCUGACGGUGCUGAGUGGAAAGGCCGUCACUCAACGGAUAAAAGUUACUCUAGGAUAACAGGCUGAUCUCCCCCAAGAGUUCACAUCGACGGGGAGGUCUGGCACCUCGAUGUCGGCUCAUCGCAUCCUGGGGCGGUAGUACGUCCCAAGGGUUGGGCUGUUCGCCCAUGAAAGCGGUACGCGAGCUGGGUUCAGAACGUCGUGAGACAGUUCGGUCCAUAUCCGGUGUAGGCGUUCGAAUAUUGAGAGGAGCCUUCUUUAGUACGAGAGGACCGAGAAGGACAUACCUCUGGUGUACCAGUUAUCGUGCCAACGGUAAACGCUGGGUAGCUAUGUGUGGAGUGGAUAACCGCUGAAAGCAUCUAAGUGGGAAGCCCACCUCAAGAUAAG
rnacentral:rRNA from 1 species